UAUAAAGGGCCGAACGAUACGUGGACACCGUGUAAAUAGUCGCUACCCAGAAUCCCAUUGAAAUAGGGUAUCCCCACUGUGGCUGCUAACUGCUGUAAAUACUCUCCAAAUACAAAUACAACUUGCAAAUGCGAUUUUGUACAAAAAAAGGAAACAAAAACCAAAAACAAAUCCUAACGAUAAACCCAAUAAAAACUAACAAUAUUAAGUAAUAAAUAAAUAAAAUGAAAUGAAAGAGUAUAAAACAUUUAAAUGUCAGCUAAUUGUACUGUACGUAGUUUCUCUAUAUCUGUAAGAAAGCAAAGAUUUAAGAGAUGAAUAAGCAUUAGAGAAGAUAACGAUAAAGAUAAAGGUCCAGUCGAAGAUGAUGAAACUAGCAAAACACCAAAGACGAACGAGGAUUGAGGAGAGGGAAAUGAAGCGUAACGAAAAGAAAACCGCCUACUUAAGAUUAGAUAUUAUGUUUUAGAUCGAUCGGUCGGAGGAAAUGAUUUUAGCUUCAUAAACACAAGAAUACCAGAUAGCGGAUAGCGGAUAAAGGUUAACGAUAACAUUUACCAAACACAUGAAAUAUGAACAUGAAAAUGAAUCCAGAUAGCGAUACAAAGAGCCGAGUGUAAAGUAAGGUUGUUUUUUUUUCCUAGCCUUAAUCUAGACAAAUGAAUAAAUUUAGCAAACAUAAGUGUAAAUGAGUCUAAGAAUUACCGAUGUAUAGCUGAAUUUAGAACUUUAUUAUAAUUUUAUUAUUACAAUUAUAUGUUCAUAUUUUGUCCUACAUCUUAAGACUUUGAUUUAAUCACAAAAUAAGCCACUAUAAUUAAACAACAGCAAAAAAAAAGAAAAAACACAAAACAAAAACCACAAAUAAAAUGGAGAACAAGAAAUUGAAAAUCGUGUUAAUAUUUACCUAUGAAAGCUUAACAAAAAACAUAAAUUAUAAAAUGAAACAAAAAAAAACAGAAAAAAAUUUGGAAUAAAUGUGUUCAGCAAAAGAAAUGUUAUUAUAUGUUUAAAUAAAUUACAAUUAAUUCGAAAUGAACAAAAAAUUUAAUGUAAUUAAAUUGAGCUAAGUACACGAGUAAAAUUCUAAACAAUUUCAAAUUGUACAUAAACAGCAUAUACAUAUACAGAUACAUUUAGCAUGUAGCAUAUGUAUAUCUAGACAUAUGCAUAUGCUGCAUCCGAAUUACAAGCUAGCUAAUCGCAGACUAAGCGCAGACUAAAAUACGAAAACCCUAAGCCCUGAACAUACCAAAGACACUCACUCGAGCAUGAGACACUCGAUAAGCAAGAUGAACAGUGAGGAGAUUAGGAAAACGGAACCCUAUGCUGAUCCAAUCCGAUCCGAACCCACAAUAAAGAAGCGAUAUCGAAGCAAAUAAAUUGUGAAAAGUGUUUUCGAACCGUUUUUUAUUUCGCACAGUCACCUGUGCCCGCCCCCUCCACCACCCACAAGUUUCCCCUUGUAAAUAGUAUUCGAAUUAUCCGUCUCAUUCCAUUCCGAUUCGCUCCGUUCCGUUCCAUACUUGUAUGUACCUAUAUAUUUUCUGGUAUUUGUAUUUUGGCCUUAGAUCCGUAGUUAGUCGAGUCGAAAUGGAAACGGAAUCGAAGCCGGAAACCGGAAAACGGAAACCGUAUCCCUUUCGAUUUAGGAUCUAGUCUGAAGCAAAAACGCUAGUUCUGUAUUCUUAGUUUGUAUUGUAAUUGUAUUAGCUGGCGCUCAAAAACCCAAAUGUAAUGAAAAGUUCUAAAUUGUAAAUACAUAUUUGAUUUCGUUUCGUAACGUACGAGUAUCUUGUGUGAGCUCAACCUAAUUUUCGUCUUUGGCAUAUCAAUCACUCCCAGCUGCAGUUGAGUUAUCCGAUCCGUAAUCAGUAAUCAGAAAUCAGUAAUGAGUCAAUCAGUCGAUCAACGCUAACCGAUUAGAUACACCCACAUACAUAUAUACUACAUACUACCACAUACACACUCUCACGUACAUGAUUUAGGAGCUGAAAGCGCAUUUCUUUCGGUUUUCUUAUUACUUUCAUAUGCUUGAACUAUGCUCUACUCAACUCUACGCUCUACUCAACUCAACUCUAGUCUAGCCUACUUUAAUCCAAAAGCGAAAUGCAUUAAACGAAAUCGAGAAACUUAGGGCGAUAUAUUAGUGAAUAGAAUCCCAGGAAAACAAGAACAAGAAGAUGAUUAAGAUGAUGAUGAAGAAGCAAACAUAUCGUUGUAAAGCAAGAACUAAGUUAUGAAAACCACGAAUAACUCAAAAGAAAAAGUCUAACUUAUGAUGCAUAAUUAUUUUCGAAUAUAACACUAACACGCCACAACAAACAUUCGACUUCUCCAGUUCAAUUCAAACCAAAAACAAUCUUUUCAAGUUUUCCAUUAAAUUUAAUUGCAAGCCUAACGAAAAAAUCUUAACACGCAUACGUAAACAAAAAGGAAUAUUUAUAUAAAAAUAAUGAAAACCAUUUUGAUUGUACGGACUAUAAUGAAACAAUACACAUUUACCAUAUGCUAUGUACGAGUAAAUCAAAACAUAAACCAACAAAUGGAAACAAAAAAAAAUAAAAUCUUUCAAAAUCUUCUCAAUGCUUCAAGAACAAACAAAAAGAAAGCAAAUUUCUAUUAAGGACAAAGACUGCAAAUAGAGAUUUAAAAAAAACGUACACUUAAAAAGCAAAAGCAAAAACCAAAAACAUUGAUAAAUUAAUUAAUUGAUUUUUAAUUCUAAUUUGGCCUUGAUUCAACCUACCAGGAAAUAAGUUUAGGUUUAGUUAGAAGUUCAAGACACUACACCACACACCACCAUACAAUACCAUACAAUACCAACCAAACCGGACCGGACCGGACAGAACUGAAUCGUAUCGAAUCGAAUCGUAUAGAACUUUCAAUUUGAAAAACUACACCCGAACCGCAGACAUUUACGAGUAGUAUCAGAAAUAGCAUAUUUUCGGAAUAAUAAUAGUAACAAUAAUGCAGAACCAAUGAACAAGACCCAGUCACAAGCAAGUACAUGAAAGCAGAUGAUAAUGAUAACAUACAUACGUACAUAUAAUACAAAACUCGAUUCGAACACGAAGAACAGUCGCAAUAAUCCCCAUUGACAAAAAUCUAGUAUUACGCCCGAUAAGAUAUUACAAAGCUAAAACGAAAACCGAAACUCACACACAGAAAUUAAACCGAAAGAAACAAAAGAACGCAUAAUGAAAACAAAAGAAAACGAAACCAAACAAAAAUGGAAAUGUUGUUAAGAUUAAAAAUGAAAUGUUUUAUAAUCGUUAUUCAAUAAAAAUAAAAAAUAAAUAAAUUUCCAAGAAAUCAUUAACCAAUAAACAAGCAAGCAAUGGCGCAAUUCGAAUUCAUUCGAACAAUUCUAGCUGUAAUCUACCACCAUCUCUACCAAUCUGCCAAUCUAUCGAUAUACCGAUACCUAGGCAAUAAUCCAAUCGACUGGUCCCGAAAGCCCCAUUUGAUCCAUUUUAGACUAGCUGGUAGUAUUUGCUUUGUGAUCUCACUUCUAACUUAUUAUUUUGUUGGGUAGGCCUAUUCGCAAGGGAUGGCAUUAGAUCUAGUUAGUCACUACGUUAUUCUUAUUCCUUAUACAGUUAUCGUAAUUAUAAGCCUUGGCUCUAGUAACCUAGAUCUAAGUCCAGACCCUUCCCUCCGAAAAGGGGGGCUUGGCACCUCCCCUUUUCUUUUCGAACACGCAGACAGACCACCCCACACACACACCCGAGUCAUAUACCAUUAUAUCUACAGUAAAUAUACUAUAUAUACAUACAUAUAUACAUAUAUAUAUGUAUGCCAUGCCAUGCCAGUAGCACAUACCAUUGCAGACAUCUCCCUAGCGUAGUUUAGCUCUUUUGCCCACCUACCCCCACACUCCCCCAAAAGAAAUGCAUACACAUACUAUCGCCGUGAGCACACACUAAUCGCAGAUAUAGCGAUCAAUCGAGUGAUAAAAGUAACGAGAGUACACUUAAAAAAGAAUACCCUUACAACUUACUGAAAAUCUUGGAAAGUUGAAGUCCAAACAGGUUAAAUCCGGCCCCGGCAGUCAAAGCGAUGCUAAUCAAUCCAGCGAACGAAUCGCUUCAGCGCUCAGCCGCCUGCACCUGCUCAGCCGACGCUCCUGCGCUAUCCUGCUAUACCGUAACCGUUAUCGUUGCCGUUACCGUUAUCGCUAUAUCAUUAACGCUAUCGCAACCAGAAAUGCCAGCAGCAGCAGUAGCAGCAACUGCAGCAGCAGCAUCUGUAGCAUCUGCCGCAGCAACAACAUCAGCGUCUUGAACAACAACGAACAACUAGGAAGAUCUAACAGCCCUGUCAAAAUGCUGAGGCUGUGCGGCUCCUGCUUCUGCUCCUAAGUCCCGUUUCCCUGUGCUUCCCGAUUCCGGUGCAUGUGCAAUCAGUUGCUGUAUCCAAUCGAAAUCGAAUAACAAUCGAAAAUCGAUAUUGAGAUCGCGACAGUACCAGAAUCAGAUCGCGUCAAGCGCAAUCUGCCAGCAAAUUCAAAUCCAAGCAAAGCAAAUCAAAGCAAACAAAAAGCAAAAGCAAAGCAAUCCCAAAUCAAAAGCAAACAAAAACAAAUUGCAAAACUUUUGCAAGAAAUAUACACAACGGCGCACGCUUAGCACAUUUGCAUAAAAAUACAACUUACUUGCUACCUAUAUCUCCACAACCAACAUACCCAAAAUACACCCAACACACUCUAAACACACAGACACUAUCACACAGGAAUGCAUACACCAACUAAGGAGUUAAAUCGAAACUUUUUUGGCUUUUCUACUCACUUUGAACACGUUUUUUCUCUCGCUUUGAUUUUGAUUUCGUUCCUUGACUCGAGUACUCGAAUGAGCAUUAUAUCAGCAACUACUCUUUGCCUAAUUACGAUCGCUUAACUAUACCUAAUCUCUAUGUUACGAACACAUCAAAAAGAACAC